ensembl:lncRNA
GUCGAGGCUCAGAGAAGUGAGGCAGCCUGCCCAGGGCCACACAGCACACGCUGCCAUCCCGCGCUCGACUGGUCGACCGUGUAGACGGCCCCAGCGUGACCAGCAGAGAGGUCUGGGCUCCUCCUCCCUCUGUCAUGGGAGAAAAGUCGAGAACUGCAGGCCGCCCGGCCUUUCUGGCGUUGGGUGUUACACAGGAGGCGUUCCCCAACGGAGUGUCCUGGGGAAUCCACUUCUGGAUGUUGCCUUGGCCCAGGACGCGUCGGGUGGGACCAACCACGGUGUCUGUGUCACGCCUGCCCGCACCCCUGACAGCCGAGGGACCCAACAUCGUGGGCAGAGCCCCCUGCCCGGACAGACACCAGCAGGACAGGACGGGUGCCCGGGCUGGAGGCAGAGCGAACCCGGACUGCCCCAGGGAGCAGACUCUCUGCUUGCAAAGUCAGUGUUUUCCAGAGAGCCUCCCCUUCACUACUCUGGAGAGAGAGCGUCCCCACCAAGGAGGGUGGGGGGUGGCGGGAGAGGCCCCCAAACUCCACCAAGCCUGGGGGGUAGAGCGAGGGGCGGGGAGCCCAAGAGGUGACGGCUCUCCAGGUGUGGGGGGUGGAUUGAACAGAGCAGUGCCCUUAACAGUUGGAUCGGUUAGAUUUUCAGGGCUGUUGAGCUCGAUGUACCAGCAGCUGGAAGGAACACCUUUGUGGCUGAUUGUCUGUCUUCGCUGAACGAUGAAAGUAAAGACAGGAAAUCCACCCCCUGAAGGCCCGCCCCUCCCCCCUCCUCUAGCUCCGAUUUCUCUGAAGUUAAUCUCCUCCUGCUGAAUCUGAAACCAGCCAGCUUCUCGUUCCCAGAGUGUUAUAGACACAUGCAGGCGACCGGGCUCGGCCUUGGUGACCUCCAGGUUCCUGCACUUGGUGACCACGGAGGUAGCUCCUUUUAUUCUCAGUGGAAAUUGGCAAGCGAGGGUCGCCAGGGGACCGUGCUGCAGGGUGGCCCUCUGCCCUUGGCCUUUGGUCUGUCCUGUCUCCCCCGGUCUUUCGCAAGCACGUUCUCUGGCUUCUCUGCAUGUGUGAAUGAGCGCAGGGAGAGGUCCAGCUUACUGCCCCCCUGAACAAAGCAGAAAUGAGCCAAGACCAAGGUGAGAGCCUGGGCUGGGACUGCCCGUCCUGCCCGUGGCCACCCUGUGCUGUCUGUCCUCCCGGAGCCGUCCUUCGUGGACACACUGGGACUCGUUCUCGAGGCUGGCCCUCUAUGGCUCGAGGGCUGAGUGCCUCGUUUUACCCAGGGACAAAGACCCCGGGGUGGGUUCCAUCCCCGCCAGGCUGUCCCAUUCUCAGGAGGCGUCCCGGAUCCUCCCCAGACAAUGGUGGAGACCGAAGAGGGUCCGAUGUGCCUCCCAGACUCCGUGUGGCUGUCUGGCCCCGGUCCCAGCAGGGCGCACGUGCCCGGGCGGAGUGGGGGGGCCGCGAGGAGCUCCCGGAGAAGGCAGCUCCCUUUAACACAAGCUGAUGUUUUGGAUUCCUGUGUUCCUGUCCCAUCCUGCCACCCGGUUUCCACACACCCCAGUCAGCGUGGCUCUUGGUGGCUCAGAUCUGUCUCCCUUAAUGAAGUGGCUUUCUGGCUGUCUCGGAUUGAGAGCUGCUGCUGGGGAAUCUCAGUCACUAAUAGAAUGGAAAACACUGUGAAAUGCUCCAAGGUGCCAAGCCGGGCCCAGCCCAGUGUGGUUCUAAAAGGCUAAUAAAACUCCACCAAUUAAUUGUGACAGCUCAAUGGAAAAUUAUUCGGUUGUGAACAGGGCCAAGCUGCAGCUCCAAAGGAGGAGGGGAAGUGUUGCCAUGGUGACAUCAAUCAAGGUUCUCAUCUCCGUGGUGGAAGCCAGCCUGGGAGGAGCGGCGUCACGUCGCCGCGUCUGACACGGGACGGGAGGCAGGACAGCGCAGCAUUUGAAACGGCUGCUCUGCCUGGCCCCGGGCCUGUAGCCACUCCAGGCCGAGCGCCGGCUUCCCCUGGGGUAGAGAACCUGUUCUCGGAACGCUCUUGGCUUUGAGAAAGCCUGGGGAGAAGCAGUCAAGUGCAGCGGAAAAUACACCUCGUGCUGUGUUUCCCUCUACCUUUGACCAUCGGUAUUUUACCAGCUGCCAAUUAAGGGGCUGCUAGGACAGGCGCGGAUACCGCACCACGAUUUCCAUCUCCCCAGAAUUCAGGCCCUUGCAGUUCAGGAAAAACCCAAAUUCCUGGGGCACAGAGGACCUGGAGGCAAGAAUCGGGUGAGCUACGCUUCCCGUUCCGGUUUUGCAGCUAACAAGUUUCAUUUCCAAAGAGACAC